AUUGAACGCUGGCGGCAGGCUUAACACAUGCAAGUCGAGCGGAGCGAGGGUGCAUGCACCUUAGCUUAGCGGCGGACGGGUGAGUAAUGCUUAGGAAUCUGCCUAUUAGUGGGGGACAACAUUCCGAAAGGAAUGCUAAUACCGCAUACGCCCUACGGGGGAAAGCAGGGGAUCUUCGGACCUUGCGCUAAUAGAUGAGCCUAAGUCGGAUUAGCUAGUUGGUGGGGUAAAGGCCUACCAAGGCGACGAUCUGUAGCGGGUCUGAGAGGAUGAUCCGCCACACUGGGGCUGAGACACGGCCCAGACUCCUACGGGAGGCAGCAGUGGGGAAUAUUGGACAAUGGGCGGAAGCCUGAUCCAGCCAUGCCGCGUGUGUGAAGAAGGCCUUUUGGUUGUAAAGCACUUUAAGCGAGGAGGAGGAGCUCUAGGUUAAUACCCUAGAUGCUUGGACGUUACUCGCAGAAUAAGCACCGGCUAACUCUGUGCCAGCCGCCGCCGUAAGAC
rnacentral:rRNA from 1 species